GCUCAGCCCUGAGUGUCUCCAGAGGAGAUGCAAGCCUGAAGUGGGAUUGACUGUAAUUUAAGUAAACUGAUCUGCUACUAAAUCCAUAGCAAUUCAAUUUAAACUUCACAGGGUUUAUUGCUGAGGACAGACAUGACUUAAAUAAUAUUGUGAGGAGCCAUAUUUUUUUUAAAAAUGUUCAGGAUGUAGAGAGAAGGAAGAACAAAUGAGCCUGGUCAGGGAUUGUGAGCCCUGCCUUUGAAUCACCUGGGUAGAUCUGCAAGUUACUGAUCUUCUUCCAAUCAGCUCAUUGAACAGUUGAGGGGACAUGGGUCCAAGCUCCAGGUUUUUCCAAAGUUCUUUCCAUGGUUGUGAUGUGCAGGAAGAACUUAAAGGCCCUGGCCCGGAUGGUAUCUGAGGUUUCUGACAGGCAGAAGAUCAACAAGACUUGGUGACAACGGAAGGGGUGGGUGGCCCUUUCAGGUGCAGCCAGAACAAGACAGACAGUUACCUGUGGAUCAGGCCUGGAUCGUCACUGCUCUGGAAGCUUCCUAGUAGAGGGGACUAUGUUUUGCCAGCUCCUGCUAUGCCAUUUGGUAUACAGUCUGCUUACGGAGGUGACACCUGCUGACUGUGCGUGUUUGAGAGCCUCCCAUCUUGAGGGCUAGAGUGUUCUGCUCACCACCUACAAUUACCACGACUAAAAAUACUUCGGAGUAAGGAGAGUCUUCAAGGGGACUUGGCGCCUGAACUACACUGUUCCUAUUUCGGUGCUGUGUCUCAAGGCCACAGUCUUGCUACUGCUGAGCUGCGCAUCGCCAGUAAGACAUUGCACUUCAGAAUUCAUGGAAGCUUUGUGGUUAUGUCUCUUUCCCCCCAAAUGGUACCCACUAGAGAUCUUCCAGUUAAUUCCAUCCCGACUUAGCCACCAUGUGCAGAAACAGCAACUUCAUAGACAUCAGGGUGAUCAAACAGGCCAAGAAGACACCAUGCCCUCUUCUUCUCCCGCUGUCUUGAGCACCUUGUGUCUGUUCACUCAGCACGAUUCCAUCUUAGCAAUAAAUCCCCCAC
rnacentral:lncRNA from 1 species